CCCGCGGGCGGCAGGGGUGGACAGAGGCCACGUCCCUCCAGGGGCGGCAACAAGAAGCUCCCAGGACUGGCUCGCGCCCCAGCCCUCUGCACCGGCGCCGCCCCCCUCAUCCUCGGAGCCCCGCACAAGAUACCGAGCUGUGUGUCUGCAGGCCAGUCAUCUACCCUCUCUGAACCUCAGCUUCCUGCAGAACUAUUGGAUGGCUGAUCUCUUGCCUGGUCUUCCCAUGCACGGUGGACCCACAAUGUGAACUGGCCAUUAAAGGAUUUCAUCCUUCUGACUAUUUGGUUCUCUUGGCCCAAGACAAGUCUAUCAGAGUCAUCCUGGGGACUUUUGAAGGAUCUACUGAGGAAGACAUGAAGGGAAAACAACGUAAUGUCAAUUGCUGCCAGAGGCCAUCUUUGUUACAAGAUGGGGAGAACCUGCCUGGCUGGGAAGCCAACUCCAGAGCAAACAAGUCAACAAUGGGAGGACAGAACCAAUGACAUUAUUUAAACCUCUAAACCCACUCACAUCUGCAGAGUCAUGGUUAGGACAACCUGAUGCACGAGUCAGCAAAUCCUGUCCUUCUUGCCUUUUAAGUCGACAAAAUCCCGACAAACAUACAAGAUCUGAUCCCGUGACAUUCCACAUUUGGUCAAGCAGGUACACUGAGAUAAAGUACGAGAAUUAAGCCUCCAUUUAAUCCUUUCUUGAUUUGGGGGAAAUUAGGUAGAAACUCUGUAUUAGUGAG